AAUUUAAAAGAAUAAUUAAGGAAGAAAAAAAAUAAAAAAUAAAAAAUAUUUGUGGGUUGUCUCCCACUAAGCGCUUUGUUUAAUGUCGCAAGCUCGACAUAAAAACUAUCAAGUAUAAUCUAUAAGUUCUGGAGGCAUUUCGUCUAAGUGCAAGACUUGCGAAUCUUCAUUGUUUUCUGCAUAGUGAUAAUGUUUUAGACGUUGCCCGUUUACGGUAAACGGUUCCAUAGAUUUG
rnacentral:lncRNA from 1 species